rnacentral:rRNA from 1 species
CCUACGGGUGGCAGCAGUCGAGAAUCAUUCACAAUGGGGGAAACCCUGAUGGGGCGACGCCGCGUGGGGGAAUGAAGGUCUGCGGAUUGUAAACCCCUGUCAUGUGGGCGCAAAUUAAAAAGAUAGUACCACAAGAGGAAGAGACGGCUAACGCUGUGCCAGCAGCCGCGGGAAGACAGAGGUCGCAAGCGUUGUUCGGAAUGACGGGGCGGAAAGCGUGCGUAGGCUUUUUCGUAAGUCGUGUGUGAAAGGCGCGGGCUCAACCCGCGGACGGCACAUGAUACUGCGAGACUAGAGUAAUGGAGGGGGAACCGGACUUCUCGGUGUAGCCGU